AUUGAACGCUGGCGGCAUGCUUUACACAUGCAAGUCGAACGGUAACAGGCCGCAAGGUGCUGACGAGUGGCGAACGGGUGAGUAAUGCAUCGGAACGUGCCCAGUCGUGGGGGAUAACGCAGCGAAAGUUGCGCUAAUACCGCAUACGAUCUAUGGAUGAAAGCGGGGGACCGUAAGGCCUCGCGCGAUUGGAGCGGCCGAUGUCAGAUUAGGUAGUUGGUGGGGUAAAGGCUCACCAAGCCGACGAUCUGUAGCUGGUCUGAGAGGACGACCAGCCACACUGGGACUGAGACACGGCCCAGACUCCUACGGGAGGCAGCAGUGGGGAAUUUUGGACAAUGGGCGCAAGCCUGAUCCAGCAAUGCCGCGUGCAGGAAGAAGGCCUUCGGGUUGUGAACUGCUUUUGUACGGAACGAAACGGUCCUGGUUAAUACCCGGGGCUAAUGACGGUACCGUAAGAAUAAGCACCGGCUAACUACGUGCCAGCCGCCGCGGUAACAC
rnacentral:rRNA from 1 species